UACAUAUAUUGCAUGCUGGCUCACGACCAUCUACAAGACAGUGUGGGUGGAAAGGUAUAUAUUAUUAGCACGUUCGUUUCUGGCCAGAUAUAAGAAGAUGAAGAAAGAGACAUAGACCCAUAAAAAUAUCGCCGCAUCGUACAUCAUGUUAAUACUUAUGUACAAAAAGAUAUGAGUCAUUGGUAUCUGGCAGUCGUCAAUGCCCAAAAACGUGAGAUUCAAGUAUUGGACUCGCUUGGUUCUCGGAUCAAUCGGAGUGACCUUACUAUUACGCGCAUCUUGUGGACUAUUUAUGCUAAAUUUUAUGGAAUAUUGGACAGCAGAUGUAUUAACAGAUCAGUUCACCCAGGAGGAUAUCAAGCACUUUCGACGAAAAUUAGUUGUCAUUUUGCUCGAUUCAGAACUGAAUAAGCUAAAAUGAUGUCCAAUAUACCAUCAACCAGACAUUAAAGACAAACAUCCUAGCCCAAUCCCCAACAUGCCCACGGAUCAAUAUGAAUUGCUUAUGGGCCUUUGCAACUAUAUCAUGUCCAUUGAUGAUGCCAAGUGUUUGGAAAAAGAAUGGGACCGAAGCUCGACACCCCGUCCAAUGGGCUUAAGUCUCAAAAAACUUCAAAGCAUACUUAACAUGGAGCAGUCUAUGGACAAUGAUUGUUUCAAUAUUGCUGUGCGUAUUCUGGCAUGUGACGAGGGAGUAUUGUUCACAGACCCUCCAAUACACUACAUGGAUCUACAAUUUUGUUCCAUGUUGUGGGAUUCAACACGAGAGUCAAAAGUUUUUGCGAUAAGGAAACUAUUCAGAAGUUGGCAACUUUGUUUGAUAGCUGGCAUGAGAUAGACAACAACAAAAUAUCGUGCAACAUGAUUUAUCUUCCAUAUGAAUCCAUCGGUCGAUACAUCUUGUACGUCAUCGAAAAAGAGGCAUGUCAUGUAUCUAUUCUGGAUCCUAUUCGUACAAUACAAACGACGGAGAUGAAAAUUUUGAGGCACUUAGUGAAAUUAAAAAGUUUUGCGAGGGAAUUCAAAGAAGCACUCGAAAUAAAGCAACCAAGAUGGCAUUCUGAUAUAUCAAAAUGCGAACGUGUAUUUCCUAAUGGUAUUCCAACGAGC